ACAGGGGCGGCCCCCCCGCCGUGCCGCGGAGGAGGAUAACUUCGGCCGGCGCCUCGCUCGACGGAACACUCCCGACGGAAGAUGCGCCUCCAGGUGUUGCUGCUGGUCGCCGCCGCGGCGCUGGUGUCGGCCGCCGGCGUGGAAAAGCCCGGCAGCUGUCGCCCGUACAGCGGGCUGGGGCCCUGCAUCGCCAACUGCGUCAACGACUACAGCUGCGCCGGCGCCCAGAAGUGCUGCAAGAUCGGGUGUGGCCGAGUCUGCGAGGACCCCGUCGCGUCGGCUCCAGCUGGAGCGCAGUAAUGUUGGAAAAUCUGAAGGCGUAGCUGUAUGAACAACCGCUACACGAGAGAAAGACGCCUCUCUUCAGACGUACAAGACCUGACAAUGACUAUUGUAAAGCCUCGUAUGCAGGCCAUGUUUCUCUCAUUUCCAAUGUGUAUCUGUUGCUGUUUAUAAUCGUUAAUAAAAAACACUGUUAUUAAUAA